rnacentral:rRNA from 1 species
UGGGGAAUAUUGCACAAUGGGGGAAACCCUGAUGCAGCGACGCCGCGUGAACGAAGAAGGUAUUCGUAUCGUAAAGUUCUGUCCUAUGGGAAGAUAAUGACAGUACCAUAGAAGAAAGCUCCGGCUAAAUACGUGCCAGCAGCCGCGGUAAUACGUAUGGAGCGAGCGUUGUCCGGAAUUAUUGGGCGUAAAGGGUACGCAGGCGGUUUAAUAAGUCGAAUGUUAAAGAUCGGGGCUCAACCCCGUAAAGCAUUGGAAACUGAUAAACUUGAGUAGUGGAGAGGAAAGUGGAAUUCCUAGUGUAGUGGUGAAAUACGUAGAUAUUAGGAGGAAUACCAGUAGCGAAGGCGACUUUCUGGUCUGUAACUGACGCUGAUGUGCGAAAGCGUGGGGAUCAAACAGG